AUCCUUUUAUAGCUCAUAAGUGUGAUAAUUGGAUUUUCGCUCUCCUGUGUGAGAUGUGCUUCCCUCAAACCUUGUUACAUCAGCACAUUACCUGUCUUGAUU